CCUACGGGAGGCAGCAGUGGGGGAUAUUGCACAAUGGGGGAAACCCUGAUGCAGCGACGCCGCGUGUGGGAAGACGGUCCUCUGGAUUGUAAACCACUGUCCCCAGGGACGAAGAUGACGGUACCUGGGGAGGAAGCUCCGGCUAACUACGUGCCAGCAGCCGCGGCAAUACGUAGGGAGCGAGCGUUGUCCGGAAUUACUGGGGGUAAAGGGAGCGUAGGCGGGACUGCAAGUUGGGUGUCAAAUCUACCGGCUCAACCGGUAGCCGCACUCAAAACUGCAGUUCUUGAGUGAAGUAGAGGCAGGCGGAAUUCCUAGUGUAGCGGUGAAAUGCGUAGAUAUUAGGAGGAACACCAGUGGCGAAGGCGACCUGCUGGGCUUUUACUGACGCUGAGGCUCGAAAGUGUGGGGAGCAAACAGGAUUAGAUACCCGAGUAGUC
rnacentral:rRNA from 1 species